CUAAAGGGCUUUCUGGAAGCUAUUUUGGUUGCCUAAUUAAGCCUGGGGUAUGUUCACGAUAUAAAUACCUACUUUGGUUUGGUUCAUCAAGCAGAAAAAAAGUGUUGCUCUUUUCCUUUUUCAAAUUAUGUGCGUCUUUGCAAGGCGUAGAUAUACAUCUUUUCAAGGCGUAGAUAAUAUUUUGGUGGUGCAUGAGAUAUUACAUUCUUUGAAACAGAAGAGGGGGGUGAGUUUUGUGAGAUGGCGCUGAAGCUUGACAUGGCAAAAGCCUAUGAUAGAGUGGAGUGGUGUUUUGUAGGUGAUAUGUUACACACCCUUGGCUUUGCCGAGAAUUUCUGUCAUUGGAUAAUGGAAUGUAUCUCCACAAUCACGUACAGUAUAAUGAUCAAUAGGGAGGCUACGGAUAACAUUGUGUCGUUGAGAGGGCUCGUCAAGGAUGUAGAACUGUAAGUAAUGAGCUGAUUUGCAUAAGUAUAAGCCUAAAACUAUAAUAGUGAAUGCACUUAGUCUCUUAGAAUGGCAGGUGUAAGGCCCCAAACUGUAAGGCUCAUUUAAGCCACGUGUAGAAAUCUUAGAAUAGCUGAAUGCAUGGCUGAGAUACAAUAUGA
rnacentral:lncRNA from 1 species